rnacentral:rRNA from 1 species
CUACGGGUGGCAGCAGUGAGGAAUUUUGCGCAAUGGGGGAAACCCUGACGCAGCAACGCCGCGUGAGCGAAGAAGGCCCUCGGGUCGUAAAGCUCUGUCAAGUGGGAAAAAAAUUUUUUGAUCAAUAGUCAAAAGACUUGAUGGUACCACUGGAGGAAGCACCGGCUAACUCCGUGCCAGCAGCCGCGGUAAUACGGAGGGUGCAAGCGUUGUUCGGGUUUACUGGGCGUAAAGAGCGUGUAGGCGGUUUAGCAAGUCAGAUGUGAAAGCCCUGGGCUCAACCCGGGAAGUGCAUUUGAAACUGCGUCACUAGAGUAUGGGAGAGGAGAUUGGAAUUCCUUGUGUAGAGGUGAAAUUCGUAGAUAUCAGGAGGAACACCCGUGGCGAAGGCGAUUCUCUGGACCAAUACUGACGCUGAGACGCGAAAGCGUGGGGAGCAAACAGGAUUAGAUACCCUAGUAGUC